AGACAAAACACAUUAGGGAACACAUUAAGUCACCGCCCUGGGACGACCUGGGAUAGAACAACUAGCUUGAUAGCCUCCUCAAGACUUUAACAUGACAUGCGGGUUUCGAACAUUCGGCAUUGAAGGAUAUGUUAUUCUUCAGAAGUGACCUUAACAAAGCAUUCGGGCACGUAGGCCAAUGGUGUUUGAUAUAAGAAAAGGAAAACAAAUUGAUCUUGGUACAGCAGAACGGAAUGGGAAACCAAUUUCCUAGCUAAACAUGAACCAUACAGAUGCCUACCCUUGAAAAUAAGUUUAUGUGACCGUGUUUAUAUAUGGAACCGAAAACAAUAAAAGACAGAUAUCAAGAAGUAUAAAAAUGCGUAAGUAAUAUAUUGUUUUUCGUAUCACACUGAUAUUUAAGUCACAAGAGGACAUAAAGUGCAUCACUUCUUUAAAAUAAACAUACCUGUGUGAAAAUUCAGUUGUGUGACUUUAUCUAUCAUCUGCUUUGCUCUUGUGAUUGAAUGAAUUACGAAAAGAAUUUAUGGAACAUAUGCAGAGCACAUCCGCAACAUAAUAAUAAAAUAUUGUUGCCGUCUAAUUUACUGUAGAUUGCAUCUACUUGUUUUAUAUAUAGAAUGUAUGAUGCUUAUAUAUUGACUAAUUCUCUGUUCCUGUCUUAAGUUGUGAUGUAAUAUUUACGUUAUUACGACAGCUCGUAAGACUUGUGUCAUUCAAAUACCAGAUAUAAAUGUUAAAAUGUUUACAAGCAGGUUUUCUUUAUUGAGUUUUCCACUUAGUUCAAGACUUUGCGUCAGCUUUUAUUGAAUUUCACUUCGUUUCCGUGCAUCUGGAAAUGUUGUGAAUACAAGUUAUUGCAAGGACUGUUCACCCAGUUUCGAAAGUAAAUAUCAGAGGUAAUCCUUUGCUUCGUUAAUCUGAAAAUGCAAACUCAAUAAUGUUUUCUCUGUAACAUAGCAAAAUUGUCAUAAGUAAUUAUUAUAUGAUGCUCUUAUUUAAUGGAUUUGCAUUCUCAGUUGAACGGAUAAAAAUAAAGUUGGUAUAAAAA
rnacentral:lncRNA from 1 species